rnacentral:rRNA from 1 species
AACGAACGCUGGCGGCGUGCUUAACACAUGCAAGUCGAACGGGUUCAUAAUGAGUAGCAAUACUUGAUAUGAAUUAGUGGCGGACGGGUGAGUAACACGUAGGUAACCUACCCUUGAGCGGGGGACAACCCAGGGAAACUUGGGCUAAUACCCCAUAAGACCACGGGGUGUGAAUCUUGUGGUAAAAGUAGCGAUACGCUCAUGGACGGGCCUGCGGCCUAUCAGGUAGUUGGUGAGGUAACGGCCCACCAAGCCAAAGACGGGUAGCCGGGCUGAGAGGUUGAACGGCCACACUGGUACUGAGACACGGUCCAGACUCCUACGGGAGGCAGCAGUGGGGAAUAUUGCACAAUGGGGGAAACCCUGAUGCAGCGACGCCGCGUGGAGGAUGAAGGUCUUCGGGUUGUAAACUCCUUUUAUUGGGAAAGAUGAUGACGGUACCCAAUGAAUAAGCCACGGCUAACUCUGUGCCAGCAGCCGCGGUAAGACAGAGGUGGCGAGCGUUGUUCGGAAUUACUGGGCUUAAAGGGCGAGUAGGCGGUGGGACAAGUCUGAUGUGGAAUCUUAGGGCUUAACCCUAAAACUGCAUUAGAACUGUUUUACUUGAGUCAGUGAGGGGAGGGCGGAAUUCCCGGUGUAGCGUGAAAUGCGUAGAUAUC